rnacentral:rRNA from 1 species
CCAAUAGCGUAUAUUAAAGUUGUUGCAGUUAAAAAGCUCGUAGUUGAAUUUCGGGAUUAGUACGCUGGUCGUGCCUUCGGUAUGUACUGGUGUUACUGAUUCCUACCUUCUGACGAAUCGUCAUGUCAUUAAUUUGGUGUGGCGGGGAAUCAGGACUGUUACUUUGAAAAAAUUAGAGUGUUUAAAGCAGGCUCGCGCUUGAAUACAUUAGCAUGGAAUAAUGAAAUAGGACGUUUGAUCCUAUUUUGUUGGUUUCUAGGAUUGACGUAAUGAUUAAUAGGGAUAGUUGGGGGCAUUAGUAUUCAAUUGUCAGAGGUGAAAUUCUUGGAUUUAUUGAAGACUAACUACUGCGAAAGCAUUUGCCAAGGAUGUUUUCAUUAAUCAAGAACGAAAGUUAGGGGAUCGAAGACGAUCAGAUACCGUCGUAGUCUUAACCAUAAACUAUGCCGACUAGGGAUCGGAUGAUGUUAAUUUUUUAAUGACUCAUUCGGCGCCUUACG